rnacentral:sRNA from 1 species
UUUUGCCUGCGGAAUUCGUGAUAUGAUUUGCAAAAAGCCAUAAGAAUAAUAGGGAGUCGGGCCAUGGGUGGCGUGCGUGCCGGCCAGUUCCGGAUACAUAAAGCCCAUCAGGUAGAUUCCCAUCUAUGCAUACUUGGCUUUGUAUAGUCAAGCAUACACGGUUCACGCGGGCUUUAA